CAAUAGCGUAUAUUAAAGUUGUUGCGGUUAAAAAGCUCGUAGUUGGAUUUCUGCUGAGGACGACCGGUCCGCCCUCUGGGGGAGUAUCUGGCUCGGCCUUGGCAUCUUCUUGGGGAACGUAACUGCACUUGACUGUGUGGUGCGGUAUCCAGGACUUUUACUUUGAGGAAAUUAGAGUGUUUCAAGCAGGCGCACGCCUUGAAUACAUUAGCAUGGAAUAAUAAGAUAGGACCUUGGUUCUAUUUUGUUGGUUUCUAGAGCUGAGGUAAUGAUUAAUAGGGAUAGUUGGGGGCAUUCGUAUUUAACUGUCAGAGGUGGAAUUCUUGGAUUUGUUAAAGACGGACUACUGCGAAAGCAUUUGCCAAGGAUGUUUUCAUUGA
rnacentral:rRNA from 1 species